rnacentral:rRNA from 1 species
UGAGGAAUUUUCCGCAAUGGGCGAAAGCCUGACGGAGCGACGUCGUGUGUGGGAUGAAAUCCUUCGGGAUUUAAACCACUGUCAGAUGGGAAGAUAUUGACGGUACCAUCAGAGGAAGCCCCGGCUAACUACGUGCCAGCAGCCGCGGUAAUACGUAGGGGGCGAGCGUUGUCCGGAAUCAUUGGGCGUAAAGGGCGUGUAGGUGGUCUUUCAAGUCAGAUGUAAAAUCUGCGGGCUCAACCCGUAGCCGCAUCUGAUACUGUCAGACUAGAGAAUGGUAGAGGUAAGCGGAACAGCCAGUGUAGCGGUGAAAUGCGUAGAUAUUGGCUGGAACACCAGUGGCGAAGGCGGCUUACUGGGCUAUUUCUGACACUGAGACGCGAAAGCUAGGGGAGCAAACGGG